rnacentral:rRNA from 1 species
AUUGAACGCUGGCGGCAGGCCUAACACAUGCAAGUCGAACGAGUGGCGGACGGGUGUGUAAUGUCUGGGAAACUGCCUGAUGGAGGGGGUUAACUACUGGAAACGGUAGCUAAUACCGCAUACCAUCAGAUGUGCCCAGGUGGGAUUAGCUAUUUGGUGGGGUAACGGGGCACCAAGGCGACGCUCCCUAGCUGGUCUGUGAGGAUGAACGGCCACACUGGAACGGGGACACGGUCCAGACUCCUACGGGAGGCAGCAGUGGGGAAUAUUGCACAAUGGGCGCAAGCCUGAUGCAGCCAUGCCGAGUGUAUGAAGAAGGCCUUCGGGUUGUAAAGUACUUUCAGCGGGGAGGCGUUACCCGCAGAAGAAGCACCGGCUAACUCCGUGCCAGCCGCCGCGGUAAUUC